rnacentral:rRNA from 1 species
GCAAGUCGAACGGCAGCACGGGAGCAAUCCUGGUGGCGAGUGGCGAACGGGUGAGUAAUAUAUCGGAACGUGCCCAGUCGUGGGGGAUAACGUAGCGAAAGCUACGCUAAUACCGCAUACGAUCUACGGAUGAAAGCGGGGGACUCGCAAGAGCCUCGCGCGAUUGGAGCGGCCGAUAUCAGAUUAGGUUGUUGGUGAGGUAAAAGCUCACCAAGCCUGCGAUCUGUAGCUGGUCUGAGAGGACGACC